rnacentral:lncRNA from 1 species
AUGGCGCCGGAGGCGAAGAAGGAAGCCCCUGCCCCUCCUAAAGCUGAAGCCAAAGCAAAGGCUUUGAAGGCCAAGAAAGCAGUGUUGAAAGGUGUCCACAGCCACAAGAAAAAGAAGAUCCAGAUGAAGCCCACCUUCUGGCGGCCCAAAACACUGCGGCUCAGGAGGCAGCCCAAAUAUCCCCGGAAGAGCACCCCAGGAGAAACAAACUUGACCGCUAUGCCACCAUCAAAUUCCUCUCACCACCAAGUCAGCCAUGAGGAAAAUGGAAGACAACAACACACUGGUAUUCAUUGUGGAUGUCAAGACCAAAAAGCACCAAAUUAAACAGGCUGCGGAGAAGCUCUAUGACAUUGAUGUGGCUAAGGUCAAUACUCUGAUCAGGCCUGAUGGAGAGAAGAAGGCAUAUGUUCGACUGGCUCCUGACUGUGAUGCUUUGGAUGUUGCCAACAAAAUUGGGAUCAUCUAA